UACGAAGGGAGCUAGCGUUGUUCGGAAUCACUGGGCGUAAAGCGCACGUAGGCGGAUGUGUCAGUCAGAGGUGAAAUCCCGGAGCUCAACUUCGGAACUGCCUUUGAUACAGCACGUCUUGAGUCCGAUAGAGGUGGGUGGAAUUCCUAGUGUAGAGGUGAAAUUCGUAGAUAUUAGGAAGAACACCGGUGGCGAAGGCGGCCCACUGGAUCGGUACUGACGCUGAGGCGCGAAAGCGUGGGAGCAAACAGG
rnacentral:rRNA from 1 species